rnacentral:rRNA from 1 species
GUGCCAGCCGCCGCGGUAAUACGUAGGGUGCAAGCGUUGUCCGGAAUUAUUGGGCGUAAAGAGCUCGUAGGCGGUCUGUCGCGUCGGCUGUGAAAACCCGGAGCUCAACUCCGGGCCUGCAGUCGAUACGGGCAAACUGGAGUGUUGCAGGGGAGACUGGAAUUCCUGGUGUAGCGGUGAAAUGCGCAGAUAUCAGGAGGAACACCGGUGGCGAAGGCGGGUCUCUGGGCAACAACUGACGCUGAGGAGCGAAAGCGUGGGGAGCGAACAGGAUUAGAAACCCGUGUAGUCC